CAUCCAAGUAAUUCUGCCAUCUCUUCUGGCUUCAAAGGGAAUCCAUUGACAAUUAGUUGCUCUGGUCGAAGUUGAUUAGCAGAGCAUUCUUUCUCUGCUUUCAUUAUCUGCUUAACUUCCAAAGGACUGAGCAAUCGAGAUAAGACCCUGGAAUGUUUACCUAACUUCAACCGCUUUGAUUCAUCAAUUGCUUGACCAAUGCAAGUCACACAUUUACGGCCUUCAGGCAUUGAUCCCAUAGCUCUAAGUAUGCAAUUGCUACAAUACUUAGCAUCACAAACCAGGCAUGAUUCUUUGGUUUCCCACUUACCUUUUCCACACCUGUAACAGA
rnacentral:misc_RNA from 1 species